UUAAAUUGAAGAGUUUGAUCAUGGCUCAGAUUGAACGCUGGCGGCAGGCCUAACACAUGCAAGUCGAACGGUAACAGGAAGCAGCUUGCUGCUUCGCUGACGAGUGGCGGACGGGUGAGUAAUGUCUGGGAAACUGCCUGAUGGAGGGGGAUAACUACUGGAAACGGUGGCUAAUACCGCAUAACGUCGCAAGACCAAAGAGGGGGACCUUCGGGCCUCUUGCCAUCAGAUGUGCCCAGAUGGGAUUAGCUUG
rnacentral:rRNA from 1 species